UAUUUUUUUCUGUUGCGUUACCACCCGCCA
rnacentral:piRNA from 1 species